UACAGAGGGGGCAAGCGUUGUUCGGAAUUACUGGGCGUAAAGGGCGCGCAGGCGGCCCGCUAAGUCGAACGUGAAAUCCCCAGGCUCAACCUGGGAACUGCGUCCGAUACUGGCAGGCUUGAAUCCGGGAGAGGGAUGUGGAAUUCCAGGUGUAGCGGUGAAAUGCGCAGAUAUCAGGAAGAACACCCGUGGCGAAAGCGGCUCUCUGGAACGGUACUGACGCUGAGACGCGAAAGCGUGGGGAGCGAACAGG
rnacentral:rRNA from 1 species